rnacentral:rRNA from 1 species
UGCCCUGAUGUGGGGGAUAACCAUUGGAAACGAUGGCUAAUACCGCAUGAUGCCUUCGGGCCAAAGAGGGGGACCUUCGGGCCUCUCGCGUCAGGAUAUGCCUAGGUGGGAUUAGCUAGUUGGUGAGGUAAGGGCUCACCAAGGCGACGAUCCCUAGCUGGUCUGAGAGGAUGAUCAGCCACACUGGAACUGAGACACGGUCCAGACUCCUACGGGAGGCAGCAGUGGGGAAUAUUGCACAAUGGGCGCAAGCCUGAUGCAGCCAUGCCGCGUGUAUGAAGAAGGCCUUCGGGUUGUAAAGUACUUUCAGCAGUGAGGAAGGGGUGUGUGUUAAUAGCGCACAUCUUUGACGUUAGCUGCAGAAGAAGCACCGGCUAACUCCGUGCCAGCAGCCGCGGGUAAUACGGANGGUGCGAGCGUUAAUCGGAAUUACUGGGCGUAAAGCGCAUGCAGGUGGNUUUGUUAAGUCAGAUGUGAAAAGCCCNGGGGCUCAACCUCGGAAUANCAUUUG